GAGGAAGGAGUUACUUGGUCUUGUCUCGCUCUGCAUCCUCCUUCAGGCGGCGGACGGCAGCCUCCUGGUCCUGCUUCUGCUUUACCAGCUUCUCCUCCAAAGCCACCAGCUGCUCGGAUUGAGCCUCCAGCUUCCCCGCUGCCCGGAGAAAGAUGAAGAAAUAGAACAACAACUCCUGUAUGCGUGCCUCCAGCUGCUCUACCGUGGCCUCUAGCUGCUCCAUGAUCUCCUUUUGGCGCUCCGCUGCCUCCUGCUGGCUUUCCACCUGCUCCAUCAGCAUCUCCACCUUCUUGUCCUUGGCAUCCAGCGAGCGCUUCAGUAAUCAGCACUAACUCGGCCACACGCCUAUUGUUAAUCUGCCUCCAUCAUCACCUGCAUUUAAGCCUACCAGAUCCAAGACUCCAUUGUCACAGUAUUAACAUUCACCCAUGUGCUCCUUCUGUAUUCCCCGCCUUGCUGACCUCUUCCACCAUGCCCCCAAGCCAUCCACCUGCUCACGCCACCGCCUGCCGCACGCUCCCUGUCUCGACGACCCGCCAGUACGCCUCAAGGAUCCACCUCCGACUCCCAUCACAAUAAACCUUUCUCCAAACUAUUUCAGCCUCCGCCUGCUUCUGGGUCCAGUUAAAAUUAACACCAUUGCAUCGUGAGACUUCAGUCCGGAUUCAGGACAGACAACUCUACUGAAAUCGCCCUUGCAAAAGUGACGAAUGAUCUCAUACUAGCUGUGGAUUCUGACACCUCUUCAAUACUAUUAUAAGUUGAACCUCACCACUGCCUUUGAUACCGGUGAUCACAAGAUACUACUAGAUCGCCUUGAAAUGCGUCUCGGUAUUACAGGCCCAGCACUUUCUUGGUCUAGAUCUUAUCUCUCGGGAAGGACGCACAAUGUAAUUCAUGGCAAUGUGACCUCUGAGUAUUAUAAUGUCACUUGUGAAGUCCCGCAGGGAUCGGUACUUGGCCCUCUUUUGUUCAGUAUCUAUAUGUUGCCACUUGGCGGUAUCAUACGCAAAUAUAAGAUUAGCUUUCACUGUUAUGCCGACAAUACUCAGCUAUACAUGCCAUUAAAACUAUGCCACACGAUUGCUCUAAUCUGGAGUUGUGUGUGAUUAAACAGUGGAUGUCCUGUAAUGUUUUGCUCCUUAACCGUGAGAAAACUAAACUGUUGAUUAUUGGCCCUGCUAAAUAUAGCUGCUUGUUUCGGAACCCCACUCUGAGUUUUGACAAAAGCACCAUUACCCAAAGUGAGUCAGCAAAACAAUCUCAAUGUUAUAUUUGACUUAA